AGAGUUUGAUCCUGGCUCAGGACGAACGCUGGCGGCGUGCCUAAUACAUGCAAGUCGAACGCACUCUCGUUUAGAUUGAAGGAGCUUGCUCCUGAUUGAUAAACAUUUGAGUGAGUGGCGGACGGGUGAGUAACACGUGGGUAACCUGCCCUAAAGUGGGGGAUAACAUUUGGAAACAGAUGCUAAUACCGCAUAAAACCUAGCACCGCAUGGUGCAAGGUUGAAAGAUGGUUUCGGCUAUCACUUUAGGAUGGACCCGCGGUGCAUUAGUUAGUUGGUGAGGUAAAGGCCCACCAAGACUGUGAUGCAUAGCCGACCUGAGAGGGUAAUCGGCCACACUGGGACUGAGACACGGCCCAGACUCCUACGGGAGGCAGCAGUGGGGAAUCUUCCACAAUGGACGAAAGUCUGAUGGAGCAACGCCGCGUGAGUGAAGAAGGUUUUCGGAUCGUAAAACUCUGUUGUUGGAGAAGAAUGUAUCUGAUAGUAACUGAUCAGGUAGUGACGGUAUCCAACCAGAAAGCCACGGCUAACUACGUGCCAGCAGCCGCGGUAAUACGUAGGUGGCAAGCGUUGUCCGGAUUUAUUGGGCGUAAAGCGAGCGCAGGCGGUUUUUUAAGUCUGAUGUGAAAGCCUUCGGCUCAACCGAAGAAGUGCAUCGGAAACUGGGAAACUUGAGUGCAGAAGAGGACAGUGGAACUCCAUGUGUAGCGGUGAAAUGCGUAGAUAUAUGGAAGAACACCAGUGGCGAAGGCGGCUGUCUGGUCUGUAACUGACGCUGAGGCUCGAAAGCAUGGGUAGCAAACAGGAUUAGAUACCCUGGUAGUCCAUGCCGUAAACGAUGAGUGCUAGGUGUUUGGAGGGUUUCCCCCUUCAGUGCCGCAACUAACGCAUUAAGCACUCCG
rnacentral:rRNA from 1 species